ensembl:lncRNA
CUACAACACUACUUUUCUUAUUUUCCAAGCUGACGACAACUACUUUUUCAGGGUAAGCGGUAUCUGCUGCCCUUGAAGAAACCAGAAAAGAGCACUUUCAUCAACCCCUGGAGCUUGACAAUCCAUUCCAAUGAGCUGCAACCUGUGACAGCAAGCCUGGUCCAGGUUGUAUCUCUGGCUCUGUUUGUAUGUGUUCUGCUGGCCACUGAUAGAGUCCUUUACCACAUUUUCGACAUCAUCCGUAGGCAUACCUUUACAGAGCAAUCUGUUAAAAGUAGUCAUGAAAUACACAUUGACAUUAGAGGAGAAUCCAUGUUAGCUAAGCUCCUUCGUAAAACUAUCGGUGCCUUCAACACCUCCUCUAACCUAGAUUUGCAGUCCAGUAACUGGCGUUUAUACAAACCGCCUACGCAGGGUCAUCACUACAUUCUACUUCCCCAAGAGAGAGAAGAAACGGAUUCUUUUCCUCUAUAACCUCCAGAUCCAGAGACGCAUUACUUUUGUCAACCGGUUGAGCAAACAGCUCAGGCAUCAGCGACGAGCACCAAAACCGGUGUUGUCCAUGCUGCUGUCUCCACUGGAACGGUUUGGGUGGGGUGUGUGUUGGUGUUGGGUGUGUGUGGAAAGCAUGAGGCAGCGGAGUGCUGUGCAUUGUUCUGUUGUGGGCUGUAAUGUGCUCUACUGUGCACAGUGCUGGAGAGAUUUGGGGAACUGCUGCAUUUGCUCCAUACCUAAGGAUAUGGAGCCUCAGGACAAUGACUCUGACACAGACACAGUUUACUAUGUUCAUUAAUCAUAUAGUCACACAGGACAAUAAAUCUUAACUUUUACCCAAAUUAGCUAUAUUAUCUGUUUAAUAAACAUUCCCCUUGUGGGUGGCCUAGGGCCUGUAUUCUGUAUUUGUACAAUUAGAGCAAAUUAAAGUAAUAAAACACCUUGGGGUGUGCUGUUGUAGGAAAAUUAUCUAUGUUGGGGUGGUGUGAUGUCACACCAAAGCUGAUUAUUUUCCAAUAAUUUCCAGCAUAACUGAAGUGUUUUAUUCCUUU